AACACUACAUCUCCCAGAAGGCCAAGCGCAAGCUUUGAGUAGCUUCGACGCCAAUCCGCGGUCCUUUAAUACGAUUUUACAUUAAAUUUCAGCGUAAAUAAGUGGUUCUGAGUAUAAUAUUAAAAACGUGCUGUAUAAUUGUAUAACCCCCAAUAACAAACUCGUGAGGUUUUACGGUUAAAGUGAGCUACUGGUUAGCGAGAGGCCGUGCUAGCUGCUAGUAGCUAGCGCAUCGGCUAGCAUACCUUGAUAGCCAGUUUUGAAUGUGCACAGUAAAAUGUUCUUUGGAUGGGAAAACAGCAUUUUCAGGUGUAUGCAGGUUUGAAUCUCUGUUGGUGUCCUUUCUUCCAACAACACAGUAGACUGGAUGCACCAGACCAGGGGUGUCCUAACUUUUUUCAAUCACACAUAGCUAGCUAUGCUAACAACUUAAAUAGAGUGGUGUGAAAAUGACUUAAUAACAACACAACUGUUGUUAUGGUUGUUGUCUAUUUAACAUGGUGAUGAUUAGCACAUUGAAGUGCAUGCAUUGUUUUUUUUUGUUAGUGUCUUUUCCAGAUAAGGCUUUCUUCUGCCAGCUGAUUGGUUAUAAUGGUAAAAGUUGCAAAUGCACUCAGUGAUAUACUGUGGCUUUACAAAGUAAUCUGUCAUCUACAAGUAGUUCAUUCUCCUUUUAUCUUGGCUAGCACUCCCCCGGGGGAGAACCCUGGCCUUCUGCAUGCAUGUGUGUGUGUGUGUGUUGCAGGUUUCCAGUAUCUAAGAGGAAGAUGGCAAUAAGAGAUAAAGGGGUGUAAGCAUGUGUGAUUCAGUUUUCAAAGUGCUUGUACCUCCACCAGCAUAAAAAGGGGUAAUAUUUCACUUACUUUUUUUUUUUCGUAUCAUUCCGAUCCUCGACGAGGGUGGCCUGAGUUCAUUCAAAGCAUUUCCAUCAACUGAAAAACAUGAAAUUGCAUGCAAAUUCUAUUUGCAGGUAAUUGACUCAUUGGAGCCUUGAAAAGCUGGCAUCAAAGUAGGGAAUGAAAGCUCGAGGAAUCUACAUAUUUAGCUGCAGCUGCUGUCACCCUUCAGGGAAGGCACUUCAGACGAGAAAAGUAACCUUGCCGGUCUUACUGCCUUGUGCUCCGAGGGAUCGACUAAACAAGCAGCAAGAACACUUGGAAUGUCGGCUCUACUUGGGAUGGCCGUGUCUUCCAGCACAAGACGUGCGAUCCGGUCCUCAGGUCAAAAAACUCUGACGGAAAUCCGGCAUCUUGUUGAGUCUCGGCAGCCAAAACGGAGCGCUAGGUAUCGAGGUAAAGUACGGAAUCACAACACUUGAUGAAACAUCAGUGAAGCAUACUGACCUAAAGGCAAUUUCUUUUCAAUUUAAGGCUUUCGGGGUAAGGACGUAUGUCUAUUUGCCGACACGACUAAUCUUCCCAAAGCUUGACUCUGAAGUUAGCUUCAUCUGUUUGAAUUGUGAUUAGCACAGCUCAAAAUCCACAAAAGGUGUGAGACGACGCCAACAUUUUCAUUCAUACAUACAUACAUAUGUACAUGUACCAAAAAAAAUCACUUUUAUUGAAAAGGUUGAUCAGAAAUCACAGGAAACCGUCAACACCAAGCUAGCAGGAGAGGCGAGCCGUGUAUCAAAAUAGACAUUUUUAUAAGCGUAUCAGUUACUUGUGGAUUUUCACCAUUCAUUUUUCGACUGUUUACACCAGGGGUCCCAAACACGCGGCCCGCGGGCCAAAUGUGGCCCGUCAGGACACUAGUUUGAGCCCCCCCCGCCUUGAUAUGAAAGUUUAAUGUUAGUGCGGCCCGCGCAAGUU